rnacentral:rRNA from 1 species
GAUGAACGCUGGCGGCGUGCCUAAUACAUGCAAGUCGAACGAUCGACUUCGGUCGAUAGUGGCGAACGGGUGAGUAACGCGUUGGUGACCUGCCCCUAAGUGAGGGAUAACAGUUCGAAAGGACUGCUAAUACCACAUGUGGUCAGCGGGUUUAGAAACCGCUGACUAAAGAAGCAAUUCGCUUGGGGAGGGACCUGCGUCCCAUCAGCUAGUUGGUAAGGUAAUGGCCUACCAAGGCUACGACGGGUAGGGGGCCUGAGAGGGUGGCCCCCCACAUUGGCACUGACACACGGGCCAAACACCUACGGGUGGCAG